rnacentral:rRNA from 1 species
AUUGAACGCUGGCGGCAUGCCUUACACAUGCAAGUCGAACGGCAGCACGGGAGUAAUCCUGGUGGCGAGUGGCGAACGGGUGAGUAAUGUAUCGGAACGUGCCCAGUCGUGGGGGAUAACGUAGCGAAAGCUACGCUAAUACCGCAUACGAUCUAUGGAUGAAAGCGGGGGAUCGCAAGACCUCGCGCGAUUGGAGCGGCCGAUAUCAGAUUAGGUAGUUGGUGGGGUAAAGGCUCACCAAGCCGACGAUCUGUAGCUGGUCUGAGUGGACGGGCAGCCACACUGGGACUGAGACACGGCCCAGACUCCUACGGGAGGCAGCAGUGGGGAAUUUUGGACAAGGGGCGCAAGCCUGAUCCAGCAAUGCCGCGUGCAGGAUGAAGGCCUUCGGGUUGUAAACUGCUUUUGUACGGAACGAAACGGCGAGCUCUAAUACAGUUUGCUAAUGACGGUACCGUAAGAAUAAGCACCGGCUAACUACGUGCCAGCAGCCGCCGUAA